AAUUCAUGGUGUGGGCACUUCUGAAUCAAUAUCUUGAAAUGCUUACACGCUUCGUGAAGGCUUUCUCCUUAUAACUACUUAAACAUCGAAAUUUCCCUUUUUAACU
rfam:Gossypium raimondii Chr01_contig_715, whole genome shotgun sequence.